AAGCAGGAUCUUCAGGAAUAAAAAAGAGAAGACUGUAGAGCAGGACCAUGACCUAUUUCUACCCAAUAAACUUCUCUUCCUACCUGCCAUUCACGUAUCCUAAGAAUUCUGUAAAAAGUGAAAAGUAGGCUUCAAGGCUACUGUUACUUCUCUGUACUACAGAUUUUCCUCUUAGGAAGCCUAACUUCCCAUCUAAGUCCCUUGAUAGAUACAUGAAACUAGAAGUAAUUCUCAAACAAGAUCUUAUUUUAUUUCAGAUGGCUCCCCUAUGGCAUGAACACAUUUGAAUGUGCUUGCCCUUUGUCUUUGAUGGCAAAGAGGACAUGUGUAACCAAGGCCACUGACUUUGAUCCAAAACAUGAAGAACAGAAAAGAAGUUGGUUAUUCCCUCUGGAACCACCUUUUCAUAUAGCUAACAGUGUGGAAUAUCCCAAUUCUAUUAAGGCAAGGCUAUUCUCUUAAGAGCCUAUCAUUCCACAGAAACCAUAGCAGCUUAGUCAAGAAGAGACCAGAACUACUGGUUCUAUAUUCUGCUCCAUUAAGCAAAGCACGACUGUAAUGAAACACUCAGCUGUAUAAUUUAUUCAGAGAAAAGAAUAUUAUGGUUAUAUUUAUCCAUUUCAAUUACAUUACAAUUAUAAUUAUCAGCCCCUUCCAAUGUGUAUAUUAGAAAAAUGUUUUUCAUAAAAUAUGUUUCAUGAAAUACUUCUCAUUCAUGCCUCUCCAGAUAUAGUAGUAGAUUGUUUAAAAAUCUGAGUAAAACAUAAAAGGUUCCUCAUGUUUA